CAAAGAGGCUUUGAUACCAAAUUGCCACAGAACAAAAAGAAACCAAAAAUCAAGAAAAGCAAAUUGUCAAGAUUCAAAGAAAGUAAGAGAAUAAACAAACCAAGCUGAGUCAAGGUUCGAAGAGCUCAAACUCGGCUCGUAAAAUUUUUUUGAAGCUUGAACCAGCUCAUUUAGAAAACAAGCCAAAUAUCAACAAGUUUAAGCACGGUUUGAAAAACAAACCAAACCAAGCAAAACUUCUAUUGAGCCGAGUCUCAAAAAACUUGACUCAUUUACAGCCCUAGUAAAUUUUAGGCUUCAGCUUAUGAAGGUAAAAACUACAUAGUUUUAAUUAUGUUUCAGAUACUAAGAGUAAAAUUAAAUAAUUUUAGUUAAAUGAGCCAACUCGUAAGCCCGUUCACAAGUUCGCUCACGAACACAAACCUAUUAAACAAGCUAGCUCUCUAGUCUUAAUAAGCCAACUAUCAAUAAGUUCAAACUUGAAUCAUUUAUUAAACGAGCUUAAAAAUUAAGCUCAAGUUCAACUUAUUUGAAAAAUAAAUCAAACCGAGCCAAGCCUCGAAUAGCUCGGGAGCAACUCAUUUCCUAUACAGCCCUGAAAGAACAACAAAUUCUCUAGAGAAACCAAUUCUCAAAACAUUAUUUAAUUCUCAAUUAUAAUCAUAAU
rnacentral:misc_RNA from 1 species